rnacentral:rRNA from 1 species
AUGAUUAUUUUGCCACUCUUCUGAACAACAGCUAGCUGCAUAACAUCCUGCGGGGGAGUAACCGUGCCGUACCCAUUUGGCAUGGGGCCAUCCACCAACUGCUACCUGCCGGGGUUCGACCUCACCUGCAACAAGCCAUCACCCCCCACAGUUGCUGCUCGGCAACACUGAGUUCCAAGUUGUCAAUAUCUCCCUUGCCAACUCCACGAUGCGUGUCACCCGAACCGACGCCCUUAUAAGCGCUGGGACCAACAUGGGGGCCACCUGGCCCUGGUCGUUCGGAGGCCAACCGUUCGACGAUUCCUUCUUUUUUUUCGCUGGAGAAGCACCUUACUCGCUUUCCACUAGGAACGAGCUCGUGGUCACGGGGUGCAACGCGCAGGCGACGCUUCUCGGUCGUGGCAACCCGGCAAUUAUGAGCGGCUGCGCAUCCUUCUGCUCCAACAACGACACCGGCAGUAGCAACGGAGUUGGCGGAGGCAGUGGCGGCAAGUACUGCCACGGCAUGGGCUGCUGCCAAGCACCUAUCUCUGAGUCCCUGGACGGAAUGCCCAAGGAGUUGAUCUUCAAAUGGUUCGACACCACCAAACUCCAGGACCUGCUUCCGUUGCCCGGGUACUCCAUCGCCGAGCAGGGUUGGUUUGAGGAGCAGGGCAAUCUGAUCAUGCAGAAGGGUCUGGACGAAACUCCCCUGAACCUGAAGGUUCCCAUUCUUCUCGGGUGGGAGGUCUUGCAUAAUGGCUCAUCAGGCAACGCCAGGUCACGUCGGGAUUGCCCUGGGGAGCUAGCUCGCGACCUCUGCAAGAGCGAGCACAGCCAGUGCAAACGUGGGAACAGAGGCCAUACAUGUAAGUGCAACGACGGCUACCACGGCAAAGGUACUUCCUUGGAUUGUGGCCUCGCCAAAUACUUUCGAGGUAUAAGCAUUAUUAUUGGAGUAGCAAGUGGGGCUGGCCUCAUUCUUUUGGUUCUCAUUAUAUACUUCAUCUCCUACAAAUAUAAGCAACAGAGAUCGCAAAUGUUGAAACAAAAGUUUUUCGAGCAAAAUCGUGGGCAAUUAUUGCAACAAUUGGUAUCCCAAAGAGCUGACAUUGCGGAAAAAAUGAUCAUAACCCUGGAAGAGCUAGAAAAGGCAACAAAUAAUUUUGAUAAAGCUCGUGAGCUUGGUGGUGGUGGGCAUGGAACAGUAUACAAAGGAAUUUUAUCAGACCUCCACGUUGUAGCCAUCAAGAAACCCAAGAUAUUGGUUCAAAAGGAGAUUGAUGAAUUUAUUAAUGAGGUUGCCAUCCUAUCACAAAUCAACCAUAGGAAUGUAGUAAAACUCUAUGGUUGUUGCCUUGAAACAGAAGUCCCAAUGUUGGUCUAUGAGUUUAUAUCCAAUGGUACUCUUUACGAGCAUCUUCAUGUUGAAGGACCAAGUUCUUUGCCAUGGGACAAAAGGUUACAGAUAGCAAUUGAAACAGCCAAAUCCCUAGCCUAUCUUCACUCAACGGCUUUAAUUCCUAUCAUCCACAGAGAUAUCAAGUCUGCUAAUAUACUUUUGGAUGAUACUCUAACAGCUAAGGUAGCAGACUUUGGAUCGUCAAGGUACAUUCCAUUAGACAAAUAAGGUUUAACAACAAUGGUGCAAGGUACAUUAGGAUAUUUGGAUCCUAUGUACUUCUACACGGGGCGCCUCACAGAGAAAAGUGAUGUUUACAGCUUUGGUGUUAUGCUCAUAGAACUGAUGACUAGAAAGAAGCCAUUUUCCUAUGUGGAUUCUCAAGGCGAUGGCCUUGUAGCACAUUUUGCUACCUUAUUUGCUGAAGGUAGUUUGUUCCAGAUAUUAGAUCCCCAAGUUAUGAAUGAGGGUGGAAACAGAACUGAAGACAUUGCUGCAAUUGCAGUAGCUUGUAUAGAAUUAAGAGGGGAGGAACGUCCAACCAUGAGACAAGUGGAAUUGAGGCUAGAAGGAGUUCAGUCACAUCGGGAGCAUGAUGAAGCACUAAUGGAAGAAUUUGAUGUGAAUGGUACUAUGAUAAAAUCCUUGAUAACUAGAGAUGGAAUAAGUGACCAAGAAGGCCUUACUAGCCAAUAUAGUACGGAAGAAGGUUGCACAAUGUCACAAAGUUAUCCAUGGUAG